GCUGCGCCUCUCGUCGCGGUCGGGAUUCGCCCGUGCGCUGCGCUCGCUCUACGGAACGUGCAAAAGGGUCAAAACCCUAGCCGCCAGCAGUUCUCGUCAAGCUCGCGCCCCCUCUGCCUCGUCUCCUCCCUGCUCCCUCCUCUCCCAUGACGCCGCCCUCGAGCCCGCGCCGCCUCCACCUCGUCUCCUCCCUUCUCCCUCCUCUACAACGCUGCCGCCCUCGAUGCGCCGUAAGGGACGCCGUUGACACGUCGGGGAUACGCAGCGGCGGAGCUCAGCCGAGCACAGCAGAAACCCACUCCUACCCUAUUUGCUCGAUUGACAAGAGCAGGGCAACGGAUUGGAUCGAGGGCGCCCUGGCCUCACUGCCGCUGCACCUGGAUUCUCUAGCCGCUGCGUGGAGUCGCCCUGGCCACCGCGUCGAGUCACCUUCGUCGCCGCCGCGAGUCAGCUCCACUGUUGCCGCCAGGAAUCCCUUCCUGACAAGGUAACAUCCUCCAAAUCCCUGCUCUCCAUGGUCCUACUGCCCUGCUUGAUGUGUGUGUGGCUUCUAACUGGAGAGGGUCUCCGCCGGUGUCGGCCUGCACCGGUGAGGUCGGGCGCGACCUGGCUUCCAGGGCGGCUUGACUACAGUCUACAGGUGACCACGUCCCUUUUCUCCCCUUCUCUCGUAUGUAUCUCUCUAUGUUGUUUCUUAUCCUUCCUCACACGAAGAAACACACAGAGCAGUAAAAAAUGGGAGGAUUUGGGAGCUGCUCCGUUUUGGAUAUGGGGGCUGCACGGGCUUGGAGCAGCAAGCCAUGGCAACGAAGUAUAUCCAUAUUAUAAUUAGAGGAGAGGAGUUGUACUGCCUUGCACAUAAUGCAUUUUAAUUCCUUAUUUCUCACAUCCCGAAAGUCACAUUACAUCUAUGAACCAGAAGAACUAGAGGAAAGUUCCUAGGGAUUUGAUUGAUGGAGGCAUCACUAUUUGGAGCUGGAUUAUCCAUUUUUGCAGCAUCAGCAAUGUUGUUUUCGUUUGGAAUGGCCAGUUCUCAAUUUCUAAAUCGGCUAUACUAUACUUCUUGUCAGGUUACAUUAUCUUGCUUGGUUUCAGUCUAUAUGUAGCACAAAAAUAGGUGACAUGGUUGGUUUGUAUGUUACACUAAGGAACACCACCAUAAGGAAAAGGGCAUUGCACUUUGUUUAUAUUUGGUCUGUUCCUAUUCGGUUUGCUGUAGUACUUGCUACACCAUUUGAAGUUUCUUACUGUUUGCUUCUUGCUGUUCCAUUGUAUUCAGUUAUGAUAUAUUUUUCAACUAUACAAGCACUUGGGUAAGUCAGGAAAACUGAACCAACGACAAACAUUUUACUGGUGAUGUUUUUUAUCUGAGAUGUGAAAGAUGCAUCUUGUCCCCUGAUAUAUUGGCUUAAUCUCUUGAUUUUUUCCCUGACAUGCUAAUAUAGAGCCAGAUAUGCAUGAUUCAUCAUACACAUUACAGCCAAUUAUCCAUUGGUUCUUUUAUCCAUAGAGGUGAUUUUGUUUGGACCAUUAGUCUAGGUAGUGACAUUUUGAUCGAUAAGGCACAAGUUUAUUUUCUUUUUCACUCGGGCUACACUAAAGUAAGCAUCACCGUUAGUGAAAAGAAGGCAUACAAAUCAUGAAGUCUUUGCCUUGGCUAUGUGCCUCGUUUAGUUGUCACUUAUUUAUUUCUGGGAAGUUAUUAAAUUCUCAUCGAGCUUUCCUUAUGCUUUACAUUGCUAAAGAAGAAAUUUAAAUACGCAAUAUUUUUGAUAUGCGAGGAGGUGAGAGGAGAUGAAAAAGGGUUGUAAUGUCUAAUGUGUAAGGUUGUACUUUGGCGCGUCUCUGGCCAAUGAUGGCUGGAUCCAUCUGACGCUCUUCCAAGCAGAGCAGUGCAGAUUUGCUGACUAGUACAACAUCUAAACCUUGGCUACUCUAGCUUCUUUUUACAUCUCUUAGUAUCAACAAAUAAGUUGGUUACAGUAUAUACUUGAAGAUUGCAUCAGGCACAAAAUGCUUGGCUAAUCAACCGGUUAAUUGAGUUGUGCCUACGAAGGAUCAGUAGAAUAGUUGGUUUCUUCUAAAAUAAAUGAGGAUUAGUUUGGUUGCCAUGUAACGGUAAGGCCAGAAUGGUGGUACUGAAAAGUGGUUCUGUAAUGGUCAUAUGAGUUGUGGAGUUGGAACUUGAUUCUUUUUAAGUUGGAGUGGCUAGGUUGUCUAUAUGUAUUGCAUUAUUUUUCUACGGCGUGCUGUUCUUUCUAAUGAUUUUUUUAAAAGUUUAGUAUUUAAGUUUACGGCAUUAUUCUGCGGCAUACUGUUCUUUCUACAACAUACUGUUAAUAUCUUAUUCUUUUCAACAUUACACGGUUAAAACCUUCUGUAUAAGAUCUUGCGCUUUCAACAUCUGCUCAUGGCGCUGUGCGUAUUCUGCUAUGAACUGUUUACAUUAGAGAGUUGUGGUACCUUCAUUUGUAUGAUUCCUUUUAGCUGAUGUUGGUUGCUCAUACUGACAAAAUGUGUGUUAACAAAUGAUUGCAGAGCAGCAGAGAAACGUGUUUCUACGAAUGUGCCAAAACUGAUGGAUUUAACUACAGGUAUUGCACUAUUAUUCUACAGGUAUCGUUGUAUUGCAUUAUCCAACUGUAAGUCUGUUCUAAACUCUAAGCCCGAUGUAAAUGUGAUGGAAGAUUGGGCCAUUUAAUUUGAACCAAAAAGGGUGAUAUGCUCUCAGUUGUUUGAAUCUGUCCAGACCUGAAAAUUAGAUAUACUUUGAAAGCUUGAUGUAUGAGUAGGAGAUAGUUGAUAAAGGUGUACUCUUGUAGGAGAUUAUUAGUUGAUUACCUGCUUCUAUGUGGUGAACAAAUGAGUAAGCAGUUUAGUUGAUAAAGGUGUAGGCAACACAGCAUUUUUGUUCCAUUUUUUGGUUUGUAAGUCAAGGAUGUUUAGCCUUUGCUGAAUAUGUUAAUUGUGAAACAGUUUUGAUGCAAUUUUUGAACCGUUCAGUCUGUUUUGUUUGUGCAGUUCAUGGUACCAUAUCUGCAGGCUACAUCUUGUGUAGAUUUGGCUACCACAUUAUAUGAUGUUGUUUCACUUUGCUCAGUCAAGGUUUCAGUAAAAAAAUGAAUUGAACAUAUUUUUGUAGACAUACAAAAACGGUCUGCAUUUUUUACAUCACCCUGACAUCCAAUUCAAACUAUAUUUUCUGCCUAGACUGUUGCAUACCUAUGAGAUCAUGGGAUAACUCAGACAUGAGCCGGUGUCCAGUGUGCAGUGAGGGUGAGUAAUGUGGCAUCAGCCUAUUGUGGACCUGUGUAUUAUACUCCUUCCGAUCAAAAUUAAGUGUCGUUGUUUUAGUUCAAAAACCACGACACUUAUUUUGGAUCGGAGGGAGAGCAUUUAAGAGAUUCCUUGCAUACACAUGAUUCAGAAAAGUACAGUGUGGGAUGCCAUUAUAAACUCAUGAAGUCUGAUCCUGGUAGUGACAUGAUUUACUCUGUUUGAUCAAAUAGGUCGAAGCCAAAGCUGUUCUUAUUGAAUCUCAUGAUGCCCCUGAUGCUUGCUGCUGUAAGCAAGAAAAUUGAGUACAAGUUUCAAUGUCAACCUGAGUUUUCAUUGUGGAUGUUUGAGAGUCAACCUGAAUUUUGAAAAGAACUUUUAGGAUGAUUAGCUAUAGUACUGUGACAAAUAAUCAGGAAAGAUAAUUUUGUAGGGUGAUCAUUGUCUUUCAUAAUAAUAUUAUAGCCGUCGGCCAAACAAUGAAGGUUGCACUACAACUACUCGACUACAAGUUUUAUGUGGAGUUUCUCUGUACAGCUUGCACGAACUCAGUGAGAUCAGGAAUCAUAAUUGCUCACAUUUUUUUC